AGUGAACGCUGGCGGUAGGCCUAACACAUGCAAGUCGAACGGCAGCACAGUAAGAGCUUGCUCUUACGGGUGGCGAGUGGCGGACGGGUGAGGAAUACAUCGGAAUCUACUUUUUCGUGGGGGAUAACGUAGGGAAACUUACGCUAAUACCGCAUACGACCUACGGGUGAAAGCAGGGGAUCUUCGGACCUUGCGCGAUUGAAUGAGCCGAUGUCGGAUUAGCUAGUUGGCGGGGUAAAGGCCCACCAAGGCGACGAUCCGUAGCUGGUCUGAGAGGAUGAUCAGCCACACUGGAACUGAGACACGGUCCAGACUCCUACGGGAGGCAGCAGUGGGGAAUAUUAGACAAUGGGCGCAAGCCUGAUCCAGCCACACCGCGUGGGUGAAGAAGGCCUUCGGGUUGUAAAGCCCUUUUGUUGGGAAAGAAAAGCAGCAGGUUAAUACCCCGCUGUUCUGACGGUACCCAAAGAAUAAGCACCGGCUAACUUCGUG
rnacentral:rRNA from 1 species